rnacentral:rRNA from 1 species
AUUGAACGCUGGCGGCAUGCCUUACACAUGCAAGUCGAACGGUAACAGGUCUUCGGAUGCUGACGAGUGGCGAACGGGUGAGUAAUACAUCGGAACGUGCCUAGUAGUGGGGGAUAACUACUCGAAAGAGUGGCUAAUACCGCAUGAGAUCUACGGAUGAAAGCAGGGGAUCGCAAGACCUUGUGCUACUAGAGCGGCCGAUGGCAGAUUAGGUAGUUGGUGGGAUAAAAGCUUACCAAGCCGACGAUCUGUAGCUGGUCUGAGAGGACGAUCAGCCACACUGGGACUGAGACACGGCCCAGACUCCUACGGGAGGCAGCAGUGGGGAAUUUUGGACAAUGGGCGCAGGCCUGAUCCAGCAAUGCCGCGUGCAGGAUGAAGGCCUUCGGGUUGUAAACUGCUUUUGUACGGAACGAAAAGCCCUGGGUUAAUACCCUGGGGUCAUGACGGUACCGUAGGAAUAAGCACCGGCUAACUACGUGCCAGCCGCCGCGGUAAAAC